AAACUUUCAACAACGGAUCUCUUGGCUCUAGCAUCGAUGAAGAACGCAGCGAACUGCGAUAAGUAAUGUGAAUUGCAGAAUUCAGUGAAUCAUCGAAUCUUUGAACGCACAUUGCGCCUGGCAGUAUUCUGCCAGGCAUGCCUGUCCGAGCGUCAUUU
rnacentral:rRNA from 1 species